rnacentral:rRNA from 1 species
GAUGAACGCUGGCGGCGUGCCUAAUACAUGCAAGUCGAGCGGUAAGGCCCUUCGGGGUACACGAGCGGCGGACGGCUGAGUAGCGCGUAGGAACGUACCCCAAAGUGAGGAAUAAGCACCAGAAAUGGUGUCUAAUACCGCAUGUGGUCUUCAGAUUAAAGCCUUCGGGCGCUUUGGGAGCGGCCUGCGUAUGAUUAGCUUGUUGGUGAGGUAAUGGCUCACCAAGGCGACGAUAAUUAGCUGGUCUGAGAGGAUGAUCAGCCAGACUGGGACUGAGACACGGCCCAGACUCCUACGGGAGGCAGCAGUAGGGAAUUUUCCACAAUGGACGAAAGUCUGAUGGAGCAACGCCGCGUGCAGGAUGAAUGCCUUCGGGUUGUAAACUGCUUUUAUAGGUGAAGAUUAUGACGGUAACCUAUGAAUAAGGAUCGGCUAACUCCGUGCCAGCCGCCGCCGUAA